rnacentral:rRNA from 1 species
UCGAGGGGUAUAAUUCUUCGGAGAUUGAGACCGGCGCACGGGUGCGUAACGCGUAUGCAAUCUACCUUUUACAGAGGGAUAGCCCAGAGAAAUUUGGAUUAAUACCUCAUAGUAUUACGAAAAGGCAUCAUUUUGUAAUUAAAGUCACAACGGUAAAAGAUGAGCAUGCGUCCCAUUAGCUAGUUGGUAAGGUAACGGCUUACCAAGGCUACGAUGGGUAGGGGUCCUGAGAGGGAGAUCCCCCACACUGGUACUGAGACACGGACCAGACUCCUACGGGAGGCAGCAGUGAGGAAUAUUGGACAAUGGGCGCAAGCCUGAUCCAGCCAUGCCGCGUGCAGGAUGACGGUCCUAUGGAUUGUAAACUGCUUUUAUACGAGAAGAAACACUACUUCGUGAAGUAGCUUGACGGUAUCGUAAGAAUAAGGAUCGGCUAACUCCGUGCCAGCAGCCGCGGUAAUACGGAGGAUCCAAGCGUUAUCCGGAAUCAUUGGGUUUAAAGGGUCCGU